UUAACUUUAGCCCAUUUGUUCACACCCA
rnacentral:piRNA from 1 species